UUUAGCAUUAUGCGCACAGCCAUGCUACAGUUAUUCAGACGGGCAAAUAUGCACAAACAGCUUGUGAUAGCCUUGUAUUUCCUCUUUGUCCCCAAGCUGACGCAUCAAAUGGGCUCUACUUUUACACGUCCUGUAAACACGUGUCAAAUGACACCAUUUGUGAACACGUCUGAACGUAUCUGGACGGUCAAAACGACAAACCCAGCAGAUGUCAGCUGCUUGUUCGAUGCAAAGCGCCUGAUAAACCAAGAAUUUAUAAUUUACAACAGAACUUUCUCCUUUGGCAGACGAAGGUAUGGCGUUCCACUAAGAGGAGUGUUUGAUGCAGAAGACCCGGACCGGAUGAUUACCAGUACCU